CCUGCCCAGCUCCAUACAGCAGGAGAUUUCCCACUGAACAGAUAAAACAUCUGAAGUUGUACUCUCAACUGAACGAAUACAUUUUCUGAAGAGAUGAUGUCAUUACUGUGUCUGUGUACAGCUGUCUUGAGCGUCCUGUCAGUAACUCUAGCUGGUGAGUCUCACCAUCUUAAGCAAUGAAAUUAACACUUUUUAUCUGAAAAUACUUUUUGUCAGGUUCUGUGUUUUGUUUCCUGAUCCCUAGCAUCCCAAGUGUUUUCGCCUCUUGUUUCCCUCUGUGACCACCAUAGUCUGUUUCCAGUUUCAUUCCCUCGUUCAUUUAUUCCACCUGGGUCUCAUUUUGUGUCUCUGCCUCCCCACUCCUUAUAUGUACUUCCUUCCUAUCUCUUACCAUUCAGUUCACCUGUUUCUCAUUGUGUGCUUGUUAGCAGUCUAUUUAACUAUAUUACUAUAUAUACUAUAUUCCGCUCCACUCCACUCCACUUUUGGAAUUUACGGUUUUUGAUCUCUGCCUGGCUUCUUUGAAUCUGCUUUGGAUUCUUUGGAUUUGUACCUCUCCUUUUCUGUCUCCUCGGUUUUUAAACUCUGCCUGUUUCACGAUUACUCUCUGGCUGCCCCACAUGUACCUGUCAGCCUGGAUCUCGACCAUUGCCUGUUUGUGGAUUACGUUUUGGAUCUGCCCCAUGUCAAUAAAGCCUGCUAUUACAUUAUCCCUGAGUCUGCGCUUGGCUCCUCUGUCCUGAAACCCUGACAGCUUUUGAAUACUUGAGCAUAAACCUCAGCCUGUAAUGCCAGCUCUUUUAAUAUACUGCUGAAAUAACCUUGUUGGCAUAGUCUUUAGAGUUUAUAUGUCUUUCUUUUUAUCAUUUCAAUUGGAACACAAGCAGAGGUUAUUCCAACGAUUAUUAAAUACCAUUUGCAUGCUAUGUUUACUAAUAUCUUAAUGCAUUUUGUUUUUCAGGUGAAACUGUUGUGUUGAACUGUGGUAAGGUGUACUGUGCAGCAGAAUGUUGCAAUGCAAUGGUGGAUUGUACUGUCACGUUAAAAGAAAAUUGUAGCAUUAACAUUGUGUGGGAGAAAAUGUGUUCCUGCAGUGAAAAUGGUACCUGUGGUUCUCAAAGACGCUUCAGAUGUAUCCGGAAGCAAUUGAACAGCACCUAUUGGAAAUUCACUCUUCUUAUAAACAACCCAACGAAGCAGGAUGGAAAGAUUUAUUCUGUUGUUGUUCAGACUACUUGUGGAAUGCAAAAAACACCUGUCGACUUCUCCGUCACAGGUGUCUGUCCAACGUCCGGAGAAUCCGACCCUUCCUCACUACCUAUUCUAUGCUGCUCCUCGUACAAGCAAUGGUCCUGUCCCUGGAUUAUUGCAAUUCAAUUCAUGAUUAGCCUUGUAUAUGCCAUAGAUUAUAAUGGCCCUUAUAUAUAGUUAUAUAUAGAUAUUGUUGUAUUGUAUUAGAUAUUAUAUUGCUGUACUCUGGGUUUUUCCGCUGCCAACUAUGCUAUGCUAGUUUGUAAGUUGAUGUAUUGUUCAAGUGUUCCAAUUGUAUCUGUAUAGUCACGCUAGGACUCGGAAUAAGAGACUCUGGAUAAGAGUGUUGGAAAACAUGGGAGGCAAGUCCACUACAGCCAACCCCCCCUGAAGCAUCUCACUUUUUAGUUGGUCAGCUUGUUGGACAGAAGAACACUAGAGAUGUUUUAAAUGUAGCAGAUGCAUUGCUUUUGUUAACAGUUGUAGCUUGAGCUAUAACUGCAUUACCCACAUGAGGAUUGGAUACACUUGUCGGGGAAGCAAGAAUUCGUUAAAAAGUGUUUAAAAUGGCAACUUAAGAACCCAGCAGUUUUAACCGUCAACACCCGUCAAAAAGUCCAGCACUCUGAAUACUGAACACUGAAGUGUGCCAACAGUUAAAACACUGGCCAUUAUAAUUUAUCAGUAUUUUGUCUUCUGAAUACCCCUUAUUGGCCCUACUGUAAGACCAGAAUGUGCUAGCUGAGAAGCAGAGAUAUUAAGGUCAAAGGCUGUUUGUCUGCUGGGAGAGAGACAGAGAAAGACUCCUAGUAAGCAAUUCAGAUAGUGGUCUAAUAGUAAUAAGGAUUAACACUAAAAGGUUAUUUGUAAUCAUGUGAUUGUCUUUAUGUUAACACACAUUGUCAAUUAAUAAUCAAUUGAGAAAAGUACACCUUACCCCUUACACCAGUUACAAAGGAACUUAAUGGAAGACCAUACCAAUUGUUGUGUGACAGCCAAACAUUCCAAAAGACCAGGGCUCACCUGCAUACAUUGAACAGUUGUUAGAAAAAGGGUUUUGACAAUACUUCUGGUACUGUGCUACUGUGGAGAGAAACAUUGUUGAGUUGCUUUAUCCCAAGCAGGCACAAAUAAGUCCUCUAAUGAACAAAGCCAUAAUCUUGACUACUCUGCAAACCUCUUGGAGACAUUGAAGAGUGAUUUUCUGAGAUAAGAAGAUUGUUUCUUUUCUGAUUGUGAUUUUUUU